UAUAUACUCCUUCUGUCCCAAAAUUCUUGUCUUAAAUUUGUCUAGAUACGUAUGUAUCUAAUACUAAAAUGUGACUUGAUACAUCCGUAUUUAGACAAAUCUAAGACAAGAAUUUUGGGACGGAGGGAGUACAUC
rnacentral:pre_miRNA from 1 species